rnacentral:rRNA from 1 species
AUUGAACGCUGGCGGCAGGCCGAACACAUGCAAGUCGAGCGAGCGGCGGACGGGUGAGUAAUGUAUGGGGACUGCCCGAUAGAGGGGGAUAACUACUGGAAACGGUGGUUAAUACCGCAUACUAUAGGGUAACCCAUAUGGGAUUAGCUAGUAGGUGGGGUAAAGGCUCACCUAGGCGACGAUGUCUAGCUGGUCUGAGAGGAGGAUCAGCCACACUCGGACUGAGACACGGCCCAGACGCCUGCGUAGGCAGCAGUGGGGAAUAUUGCACAAUGGGCGCAAGCCUGAUGCAGCCAUGCCGCGUGUAUGAAGAAGGCCUUCGGGUUGUAAAGUACUUUCAGUCGGGAGGCGUUACCGACAGAAGAAGCACCGGCUAACUCCGUGCCAGCAGCCGCGGUAAUAC